rnacentral:rRNA from 1 species
GAGGUAGUGACAAUAAAUCACAAUGCGGAACAAUGUUUUGCAAUUGGAUUGAGAACAACGUACAAACCUUAUCGAUAAACAAUUGGAGGGCAAGUCUGGUGCCAGCAGCCGCGGUAAUUCCAGCUCCAAUAGCGUAUAUUAACGUUGUUGCAGUUAAAAAGCUCGUAGUUGAAAUGAAGGGUAGUUGUGUAAUGAAUACAUUCGUGUAUUUUGUUAUUCAACUACCCUCCUUCUAAAUUCGAUAUAUGAGUAUUAAUUUACUUGUAUAUGGUUUUAGACGUUUACUGUGAGAAAAUUAGAGUGUUCAAAGCAGGCAUUUGCUUGAAUAUAUUAGCAUGGAAUAAUCAUGUAUGAUUUUCAUGAUGUAUUUGAUUGGUUUGGUUCAUGAGAAUAAGAUUAAAAGGGACAGUUGGGGGUAUUCAUAUUCAAUAGUCAGAGGUGAAAUUCUCGGAUUUAUGGAAGAUGAACAAGUGCGAAAGCAUUUACCAAGGAUGUUUU